CCACCCUCCUCCGCAAUUGCCCACACAGGAGCUCACACUUUCAGGCACACGCGUGCCCACAAACCCAGGGCCCCCCACCCCGCCUGGUCCUUCAGCAGCCCUUGUCUUCUCGCCCUCAGCCCGGGACGGAGAUGGAUUUCUCACCGAGCCCGGGAUGCCGGAUGAGCGAAGGCAAUAAGCACGUGUCCCCGCUUGCAAAACGAUCCCGGUACCUGGUGAAAUUUCAACUCAAUAUUCUCCAAGACAUCUCACAAGGAGCAUCUCUGCUGCGGUACUGUGACAGUUUGGGGAUCCCACUCAGUUCUUCUCCGGGGUGAAAUAAUCCCCUAAAAUACUUGGCAAGACUCCCUGGAGGGGAUGUAUUUCAGAAUUUGAAUUCACAAGGUUCAUUUUUCAGGAAGGACUGGCUUGGAAUGAACAUGGACAAUUCCAGCCUUAAACAACAACCAGGUCACCUGAACCAACAAAGCUUGAAAUAAAUCUUUUACAGUAUCACCCGAAGGCAACUCUGGAGUUGAUAAGUUUCGGGAAUAAUCUCUCUCUCUCUCUAGGUUUUAGAAGGCUUCCACAGUGGACUGACAAUUUUGCUCAGGCGCCAUUAAUCGGGUGGACUCCUUCAAGAUGAUUCCAUAGAAGACUGGUUUAUUGUGCCUUCUGUUCUUUCUGAGUAUUUAAAUUACAAUUUUGCCCAACUUUCAGAUCAGGAGGCUCUAGACUGUAAACUGGGCGGGGAACAUGUCCGUUAUAAUGUUGUGUUGUAGUCUCCAAGACUUAGUACAGUGCUCUGCACAAAGUAAGCACUCAAUAAAUACAACUGAUUGAUUGAUUGAUUGAGGCAGCACCGUGAAAGAAGGAGGUAGGACUUUUGUCCAGAGGUGACCACCGGAAGAGACUGCAGAGACGGAGUCUGUUUGAAGAUAGGCGUGGAUUGCGGGGGCGGGGAAUGGACGAGACCUCUUCCUCAUCCAUUCAUUCAGUCGAUCACAUUUAUUGAGUGCUUACUGUGUGCAGAGCACUGUACUAAGC